rnacentral:rRNA from 1 species
AUGAACGCUGGCGGCGUGCCUAAUACCUGCAAGUCGAGCGAACAGACGAGGAGCUUGCUCCUCUGACGUUAGCGGCGGACGGGUGAGUAACACGUGGAUAACCUACCUAUAAGACUGGGAUAACUUCGGGAAACCGGAGCUAAUACCGGAUAAUAUAUUGAACCGCAUGGUUCAAUAGUGAAAGACGGUUUUGCUGUCACUUAUAGAUGGAUCCGCGCCGCAUUAGCUAGUUGGUAAGGUAACGGCUUACCAAGGCAACGAUGCGUAGCCGACCUGAGAGGGUGAUCGGCCACACUGGAACUGAGACACGGUCCAGACUCCUACGGGAGGCAGCAGUAGGGAAUCUUCCGCAAUGGGCGAAAGCCUGACGGAGCAACGCCGCGUGAGUGAUGAAGGUCUUCGGAUCGUAAAACUCUGUUAUUAGGGAAGAACAAAUGUGUAAGUAACUAUGCACGUCUUGACGGUACCUAGUCAGAAAGCCACGGCUAACUACGUG